UACGUAGGGGGCUAGCGUUGUCCGGAAUUAUUGGGCGUAAAGAGCUCGUAGGCGGUCUGUCGCGUCGGUCGUGAAAACUUGGGGCUUAACCCUGAGCUUGCGGUCGAUACGGGCAUGACUGGAGUUCGGUAGGGGAGACUGGAAUUCCUGGUGUAGCGGUGAAAUGCGCAGAUAUCAAGAGGAACACCUGAGGUGAAGACGGGUUGCUGGGCCAACACUGACGCUGAGGCGCGAAAGCCAGGGGAGCAAACGGG
rnacentral:rRNA from 1 species